rnacentral:rRNA from 1 species
AUUGAACGCUGGCGGCAGGCUUAACACAUGCAAGUCGAGCGGGGGAAGGUAGCUUGCUACCGGACCUAGCGGCGGACGGGUGAGUAAUGCUUAGGAAUCUGCCUAUUAGUGGGGGACAACGUCUCGAAAGGGAUGCUAAUACCGCAUACGUCCUACGGGAGAAAGCAGGGGAUCUUCGGACCUUGCGCUAAUAGAUGAGCCUAAGUCGGAUUAGCUAGUUGGUGGGGUAAAGGCCUACCAAGGCGACGAUCUGUAGCGGGUCUGAGAGGAUGAACCGCCACACUAGGACUGAGAAACGGCCCAGACGCCUACGGGAGGCAGCAGUGGGGAAUAUUGGACAAUGGGGGGAACCCUGAUCCAGCCAUGCCGCGGGUGUGAAGAAGGCCUUAUGGUUGUAAAGCACUUUAAGCGAGGAGGAGGCUACUCUAGUUAAUACCUAGGGAUAGUGGACGUUACUCGCAGAAUAAGCACCGGCUAACUCUGUGCCAGCAGCCGCCGUAAUAC